rnacentral:rRNA from 1 species
AUACGGAGGAUGCGAGCGUUAUCCGGAUUUAUUGGGUUUAAAGGGAGCGUAGGUGGGAUAUUAAGUCAGCUGUGAAAGUUUGGGGCUCAACCUUAAAAUUGCAGUUGAUACUGGUUUCCUUGAGUACGGUACAGGUGGGCGGAAUUCGUGGUGUAGCGGUGAAAUGCUUAGAUAUCACGAAGAACUCCGAUCGCGAAGGCAGCUCACCGGGCCGGAACUGACACUGAUGCUCGAAAGUGCGGGUAUCAAACAGGAUUAGAUACCCUGGUAGUCCGCACAGUAAACGAUGAAUACUCGCUGUUUGCGAUACACUGUAAGCGGCCAAGCGAAAGCGUUAAGUAUUCCACCUGGGGAGUACGCCGGCAACGGUGAAACUCAAAGGAAUUGGCGGGG